GACGAACGCUGGCGGUGUGCUUAACACAUGCAAGUCGAACGGAAAGGCCCUGCUUUUGUGGGGUGCUCGAGUGGCGAACGGGUGAGUAACACGUGAGUAACCUGCCCUUGACUUUGGGAUAACUUCAGGAAACUGGGGCUAAUACCGGAUAGGAGCUCCUGCUGCAUGGUGGGGGUUGGAAAGUUUCGGCGGUUGGGGAUGGACUCGCGGCUUAUCAGCUUGUUGGUGGGGUAGUGGCUUACCAAGGCUUUGACGGGUAGCCGGCCUGAGAGGGUGACCGGUCACAUUGGGACUGAGAUACGGCCCAGACUCCUACGGGAGGCAGCAGUGGGGAAUAUUGCACAAUGGGCGGAAGCCUGAUGCAGCAACGCCGCGUGCGGGAUGACGGCCUUCGGGUUGUAAACCGCUUUCGCCUGUGACGAAGCGUGAGUGACGGUAAUGGGUAAAGAAGCACCGGCUAACUACGUG
rnacentral:rRNA from 1 species